AUAUAUUAUGUCUAUGGGUUCAUCUAACCGGACUUGGUGAAAUUGGCCCUUAAUCCACAUAUGCAAUAUCGCAAAAAUUCUAUGUUCAAAAUAGAAAUGGUAGAUAAUUUAUCCGAAUCCAACAACUAAUAAUCACAAUAUAGGUCGCCAUCUUGCAUGUGCUACGAUACGGACGUGUUUUUGCGAGUGCUCUCGAAGUUUCGAAUAAUCAGCCCAUUUCUGGGCUACAGUUCGCGAUAUUUUGUCAGAAUUAUUUGGCUCUUGUAGCGUGCUUCCUCCAGAAGCUUUUAUUUUGACGCCCAAAGUGAAAUUUCAUACGCUAUUACUUUUAUAAAAGUAAGUCGCAACAGGCGCCUCGACAAAGGCCAAUGUGCCUGGCGCCAUCGUGCCUCGCAGCUACGGAUUAAAAAAUCUUUCUGUAUUAUUCUUCCUUCUCUUGUAAAAUCCUUUUAUCCUUUCAAUAUGAACUCCGGAGGAUCUAACGACUUCCUUAAGGACAAUGUGAGUAGCCAUAACUCUAAUUUUUCUUCACAUUCGGAAGAGAAUAUUGUCAUCCAAGACGAUGACAUCGAUAUGGAAGCUCUGAAUAAUCUCAGAUCGGAAGCCGGUCUCUCACAAUUAAAUUCAUCUAAAAAUGCUCAGCUAUUACUAUAUUGGAGAGUAUAUUGAAGAACAGAUAUUCCUCAGAUAAUCAAGGACCUUUUGACGUACACGUACAAAGGAUUUCGAAGCCACACGCUCCUCUUCAUCCAAUAUCCGUAGGAAGGAUAAUUGCCAGUCUUAACAUAAGUGACGUGAUGGAAAUUAGAAAGGUUUGGGCAUAUAAAAGCAUCAUGCAGAAGCAAACCACGUUGUGUCCACUGUGGAGAGAAGGAUCAUUGUUUCGAUAAAGAGCAGUGCCCUCACGCACAUGAUCCCCCUAAAUGUGGCAACUGCGGAGGUGGUCACAGAGCGGAUGCACCAUCAUGCCCUGAGCUGUCAAUUCAAAAGGAGAUUAGGUAAUACGCGGUUCACAGGAACAUUUCGCUGCUUGACGCCAGGGAAAUAAGAGAUCUGCAUUGCUACCAACAAACCAGUUGAUGGCCGUGUGACGAGUACUCGUCGGAGCCAACCCCCACACGAGGAAGAAGAAGAAAAAGAAGGAGAUCACAAUAUAUGUAAUAAAUGGCAGGUUAUUAACAAUUUACAAACUCUGUGAUUAAACACACUGUGGAUUUAUCAAAGUUUCCCAACAAUGUGGCUCUCUGCAUAUCGUCUACGCCUUCGCAAGUUGCUAAGAACGUUGGCAAAAAAUGGCCAAAAAACCAUCCUAUGUUGACAGAUGCUAGACUGUGAACAGCGGCGGCUAUUUCGUCUGCUAGCAAGUUGUGAGACCUAUAUAAAUUAAAUAGUUCGUCUUCAUUGGGAUGCCCAAGAGUACGCAAUAUUGAGGUAUUAUAGAAAUAUUGCCAUCGAUGCAUAAGAAUACUAAAAAUUAAUAAUUUUUUGAAAGGACUGGCUUUUAAAAUAGAAAUAAAAAAAUAUACAUUACCAA